GCAACGCCGCGUGAGUGAUGAAGGCUUUCGGGUCGUAAAACUCUGUUGUUAGGGAAGAACAAGUGCUAGUUGAAUAAGCUGGCACCUUGACGGUACCUAACCAGAAAGCCACGGCUAACUACGUGCCAGCAGCCGCGGUAAUACGUAGGUGGCAAGCGUUAUCCGGAAUUAUUGGGCGUAAAGCGCGCGCAGGUGGUUUCUUAAGUCUGAUGUGAAAGCCCACGGCUCAACCG
rnacentral:rRNA from 1 species